UACGUAGGAGUGACAGCUAGUUAGUCGAAUUACUGGGCGUAAAGCGUGCGCAGGCGGUUCUAUAAGACAGAUGUGAAAUCCCCGGGCUCAACCUGGGAACUGCAUUUUGUGACUGUAGAGCUGGAGUACGGCAGAGGGGGAUGGAAUUCCGCGUGUAGCAGUGAAAUGCGUAGAUAUGCGGAGGAACACCGAUGGCGAAGGCAAUCCCCUGGGCCUGUACUGACGCUCAUGCACGAAAGCGUGGGGGAGCAAACAGG
rnacentral:rRNA from 1 species